AGAGUUUGAUCAUGGCUCAGGAUGAACGCUAGCGGGAGGCCUAACACAUGCAAGCCGAGCGGUAUUGUUCUUCGGAAAUGAGAGAGCGGCGUACGGGUGCGGAACACGUGUGCAACCUGCCUUUAUCUGGGGGAUAGCCUUUCGAAAGGAAGAUUAAUACUCCAUAAUAUAUUGAACGGCAUCGUUUAAUAUUGAAAGCUCCGGUGGAUAGAGAUGGGCACGCGCAAGAUUAGCUAGUUGGUGAGGUAACGGCUCACCAAGGCAAUGAUCUUUAGGGGGCCUGAGAGGGUGAUCCCCCACACUGGUACUGAGACACGGACCAGACUCCUACGGGAGGCAACAGUGAGGAAUAUUGGUCAAUGGGUGCAAGCCUGAACCAGCCAUCCCGCGUGAAGGACGACUGCCCUAUGGGUUGUAAACUUCUUUUGUAUAGGGAUAAACCUUUCCACGUGUGGAAAGCUGAAGGUACUAUACGAAUAAGCACCGGCUAACUCCGUG
rnacentral:rRNA from 1 species